rnacentral:lncRNA from 1 species
UAUUAGAAAUUAAUCAUUUUGUAACAAAUGGAUAUAGCAAACGUAGGUGACCACCCAAUAAAGAUUCACCCUAAUGUUGUACAGCUCCAUACAAAUCAUAUUUUUGAGAUCCCUGAAGCAACAAAUUAUGCAUCAGCAAUAUACUUGCCUGCAUGGGGAAUUUGAUCAAAAGAGAAGAAACAAAACUCACUUUUUAUCACUCUUUAUGCUGGGGCUCAUUAAGGAAUUAAAAUCCAGCUCUAAAUGAUACUCCACGAUCUGUGAAUUCUUACAUAUAGUUGCACCAAGCAAUGCUUGAAACCACUUGAGCUGGGUUAUAAGAACUUCUGGAGCCUCUUUUCUCUCUCGUUUGUAUAAUCCUGUGAACCAAAGAGGACCAAAGGUUAUUGAGACAGAGACGAAGGUGAUAAUGAUGAUGAUGAUGAUGAUGAUGAUAACGAGUUUCCAAUAUUUAUUGGUAACGCUCCGCCACUGACGGUGGCGGUGGUGAUCUCUGGCGUACAAAAGCAGAAUUCCACAAUGAAAAUAGUUAUCGAUCAGCACAACAAAGUAAUUGUAAAGGUUCUGGCAGUGCCACGGGUCAAUUCCUUGCAUCGUUGAGUCCAUCCUACCCCUUAAGGCCUUGUUCGUUUAAUCCCACCCACACUGGGAUCCAACCAAAACCUGGCCGAAACCACGUGGUUUUGGCCCCAGUGAGUGUUGUACCCCGACCUACCUUAUAUGCGCCUUCGAUUGGACCCUGCCGGGUUUAUACGCCUUCCAAACCCGCCCCAACCCGUCGGGCUUCCACCCCACCAGCGCCAGGAUUUAAACCCACAUGCCCCACAUGUGGAACCAAACCCCAUGUUCGAGUCGUUACAAAAUAAAGAGAGAAGAAGGUGAGAGCGGCACCGGGCAUGGCGGCAUUGAAGGACUCGAUGACGUGGAACCAAACACCAUGUCCAAGUCGUUCAGAACAGCUGAAAUGCUAUGUUACUUUCCACUUUCCUUUUGUCAGAUAUUGAGUUCUCUAUGCAAUGUUAAGUAUUCUGCAUUUGAAAUUCUAAACUGCUGGACAUUGAAUUGUCUAUGCCAUGUUGUACUAAUCUGUAAACACUAUUAUAAAUUAGACAACUCAAACCUUGCGGAACAUCAAACAAUAGCAAUACAAACAAUACUUUUGCAUUAAACAGAGAAGGAAAGCAUUGUUUGGCAUACAAAACCCAUAAUAAUUGGUGGUCAUCCAUAGCAUGCAAAAUUAUCUAGGGCAGUGAGGAUAUUGGUUAUUCUCGUCUCCUGAUACAUACUGGCCUCCGUCUAACUAGAUCUGCAUUUCAGUGGCCUCAGAUUCGCGUCUCCAUCACCAGAUCAAUCUGUUCUUACCUUGGUGAAACUGCCCUGGUUAUCACUCAUAAGAAAUGACCAUCCAAGGACAGGGCUACUAAAAUAAGCACAUUAUCAGAACACCCACAAGUGCCUCGAUUGCUUGAGAAGUUGAGAGCAUGCUAAUAUCAGCUAUGGUCAAUCAUCAUAGCCCCGACUCAGGAUUUUGUUUCUUGAUUAUAGAUCUGAUUGCCAUGACCAGCUAUGAGCAACUCUAGCAGACUUGCCAAAAUGGAAAGCCCAUUCAGUUCAGCAACCACAAACUGAGCUCAAUCAUAAAGCCAUGCAACAUACGCAAACCAGGGUUAAUCUUUAUUGGUUGGUCACUACAUUUGCUAUAUCCGCUCGUCACAAAUUGAUUGGUUUCUCAUAAAUGAUGAUGCAGUAAUCAUUCUACAGCUACUAAUAUUUUUUACAUCUUUCACUUAAUUACAUGAUUCUAAAUUUCUACACUGCAGGUUUAGAAAAUUGGCGAAUAGCAAGCUUUGUGCCAUGAAGCAUAUCUUUUAUCCUAUGUCGAACAAGGUUUAUCCCCUUGGUUCUCUACAUUACUCAAGAAAGGAAACAGUGUUUCCAUGGCUCGGCAUCUGAUAUUUCUUCAGUUGAACCGGUGCUCAGAACCGUUGCUUCCAACUCUGACAGCAUUGCUAAGGGCAUGUGCAUUAAUAACGUGACUACUGUUCAAGAGAAAGCAAUGCCAGAUGAGCUUAAACAGCAGUCUGAAUAGAAACCAUCAUAUUUACAAAUGUUUGAACAAAAAUAUUCUUGAACGUCCAGAAAAUUCAAGUAGAGUGCAUAUUCACGCAUUUUAUCAAUAUACACUCUACUCGCAUAUACCUAACUUACCAUUCAUGCAUUUUCUCAAUAUACACCCUCCUCAAAUUUUCUAAAAGCCCACUAUAAUUUUGUUUAAACAAUUGGUUAAUAUGAUAAUCAGGUUGUGUUGCUAAAGCUCACUUGAAUAAUAGCCACAUCAAUAAUCACAUGCCCUUAGUAAUGUUGUCGGAGUUGGAAACUACUGGUCUGAGGACCAAUUCAGCUGGAGAAUUAUCCAAGUCGAAGUUAUAACUACCACUGGAAACAUUGUUUCCUUUCUUAAGGCAGAGAACCAAUGGGAUGAACCUUGAUUGACAUUGAAUAAAAUAUAUAAUUUGUGACCCAAGGCUUAAUAUUUGCCAAUUUUCUCAAACUGCAGCAUAGAAGUUUACAUUCAUGUAACUAAGCGAAAGAUGUAAGAAAUAUUAGUAUAUGUAGAUAAAUUAACACAUCAUUAAUUAUUAGAGAUCAAUCAGUUUGUAACGAAUGGAUAUAGCAAACAUAGUUGACCAGCCAAUAAAGAUUCACCUUAGUGUUGUACAGCUUCAUACAAAUAUAUUUUUCAGGUCCCUUAAGCAACAAAUUAUGCAUCAGCCAUAUACUUGGCUGCAGGUGAAUUUGAUCAAAAGAGAAGAAACAGAACUCACUCUUUAUGCGGGGGGCUCGUGAAGGAAUUUAAAUCCAGCUCUAACUGAUACCCCCACAAUCCAUGAAUUCUUCAAUGUACAUGCACCAAGCAAUGCUUGAAACCUCUUCUCUCUCGUUUAUAGAAUCCUGUGAACCAAAGAGCACGGUGAUUGAGGAUGUGGUGAAGAUGUUAAAGAUGAUGAUGCUAACGAGGUUCCAAUAUUUGUUGGUAACACUCUGCCACUGACGGUGACAGUGGUGAUCUCCACCUUACAAAAGCAAAAUUCCACAACCAAAAUAGCUAGCGAUCAUCACCACGUCACCAAAGUAUUUAUAAAGGUUUUGGCUGUGCCACCCCUUGAUUUCUCGAAUCAUUGAAUCCAUCCCUACCCUACCCCUUAAAGCCUUGUUUGUUUAAUCCCAACCCCACCUGGAUCCGACCAAAACAAGGUUGAACCACGUGGUUUUAGCCCCAGUGAGGGUUGUGUCCCGGCCUACCUUAUAUGCGCUUUCAAUUGAACCCUAACGGGUUUACACGCCUUCCAAAUCCGCCCCAACCGUUGGGCUUCCACCCCACCAGGGUUUAACCCAUGUUCCCCCACACAUGGAACCAAAUCCCACGUUCGAGUCAUUGCGAAA